ensembl:lncRNA
GGAAUGACCACGAUGGGGUUUAAUGCCGGCUUUGCAGGCAUGAGCAGAGAAGAAUGGCUGUUAACUAGACUAUAAGUUAUUCGUCUUGUUCAUCGUUAUUUCUGUGGAGCAACACUUAGCAUGAAGCAGGUGCUCACUAAUUUUUUUUUUAAUGCGUAAAGUCCCAGCAUGGGCCCGAUGCCGUGUGCGGUAAAUCUGUGACAAUUGAAAAUGUGCCUCUUGAAAGGUGUGAGAAUUCCGAAGUAUUCUAACAGCGGUAACUGAGUAUUGCUGCAGUGUGGACUGGCUAUGCUAAUAGCAGCUCUGCUCUUCUCUCCACUGCCAUCCCCCAGCCUCUCAGCUUUUGAUUAAAAUCUGUGCGGUGCAUUUUACACUCUUAUCUUGUCGACCACAGAAACAACCCCUCUGGGCCAGCCUGGUGGCGUAGUGGUUAAGUUGGUGUGCUCCACUUCCAGUGCCUAGGGGUUUGUGGUUUGGAUCCUGGGUAGGACCUACACAUUGCUCAUCAAGCCAUGCUGUGGUGGCAUCCCACAUACAAAACAGAGGAAGAUUGGCACAGAUGUUGGCUCAGGGCCAAUCUUCCUCAAGAAAAAAGAGGAAGAUUGGCAACAGAUAUUAGCUCAGGGGCAAAUCUUCCUCACCAACAAACAAACAAACAAACAAACAAGAAAAAACCCCCAACCCCUCCACAUAGGCCCUGUUACCUCCUUACAAAAGACCACCUCUUUUGGACCUCCAGGUUUUAAUCUCAAAAUGUUUUUUAAAUCCAGAAAUGCUUUGCCACUUAAUCUUCCAUGUACCCAAAAGUGGCCCAAGAAAGCCUUGGGGAAGAAAUAGAUGUGGCUUCUCUUAGCCAUGCAAAAUGGCAGCAGGUUACAAUCUGGAGAGGAAGGAUAUCAAUUCUUCGACAAGUCACCUUCAAUGCAUGGCCUGCAGGAAGGGACCUCCCCUUCUCUUGGUUCCUGUGAUAAAGGGCGAACGGAGCAGCCAUUUUUGGGAUGCUGACACAGAGAGGAAAUGUAAAUUCACGACCUCGGCCUGCGUUGACCUGCCAAACUUGAGGCCAGCAGACAUCUUUUAGAACCAAGUGUGAGGGUUUCUGACAUCGCUCAGCCGUGGAGCCAAGAUGUAUUUAAUAGCAAGAUGGAAAACUCCUGGCGAGACUGGCCACGUGCCUCUGGCCUUGGAGAAGAGAGCGUGGAGGCAGCAUUCAGUUCAUUUUCAGGAGUUUUAUGUCCCUGCAUGGAAGACUAUUCUAUACCCUUCCAUAUGCAUUUGUUCAUUCAUUCACACUGGUAAUGUGCCAGGUACUGUGUUACGUAUGGCAGAUACAAAGAUGAAUGAGACAGGAUCCUUGCCCAGAGGAGUUCAAUGUCUAGUUAGAGAGUGGGAGCUGUAAAUGAACAGCGUCACUGUGGUAUGACCAGCGAGCGCAAUGGUAGAGGCAUGCACUGUGAACACGGAGCUCACAGAGUGGGGAGCAUGCAGUCUGUCUGGAUGGAUCAGGGUGGUUUGUUUCAGAGAGUUAGGGGUUGGAGUUGAAGGAUGAAACUGAAGGAUAAAUAAGAUCCCUCUCCCCAUGAGAGGGUGGAGGCUGGCGAGGAAAGGCGCUCUGAGCUUGACAACAGUACAUGCGAGGACACCGGACGUAGCGUGUCCUUUACCAGAUCUGCCAGGUGCUCACUGUGCCUGGAGCUUGGGGUAUGGGCAGGAGAGUGGGUAGUGUCAGUGGCAGUGAGAGUUUUAAAGAGGGAGAAUCCAUCUUUGAAAGGUCACUAUGAUGGUAACGGGACGAUCAGCACUCUGAAAGCAGCUGGAGAAGGUUCAAAUCCUGGGCCACUUUGUGUGUGUGUGUGUGUGAGGAAGAUUGGCCCUGAGCUAACAGCUGUCACCAAUCUUCCUCUUUUUGCUUAAGAAAGGUUGUUGCUGAGCCAACAUCUGUGCCAAUCUUCCUCUGUUUCAUGUGGGAUGCUGCCACAGUGUGGCCUAAAGAGUGUUGCUAGGUCUUCACCUGGGAUCCGAACCUGUGAACCCCCGGCUGCUGAAGUGGAGCACGUGAACUUACCCACCAAGCCAUGUGCUGCCCCUUAGGCCACUUUUUUCUUGUGUAGUCUUGGAGAAGUUCCCAAGUACCACUGAGCUGCACAAAAAUAGGAUAAUAACACAUUUCUUGAAAUGUUUUUAAGAGAGUUAGAAAGAACGUACAUAAGUUACCUGGGAUAGUAUUUGGAAUUUGUCGUUAUCAUUAUUGCGAGGCUGAUAGAAUAUAUUGGAAAGUGGAGGAGUUUCGGAGUCAGAGUCCCGGGUUCUGAUCCUAGUUUUGCUCCUGACUUGCUGGGUAUCCCUUGCAUAUUUCUUAACCUUCCUGAACCCGUUUUCUUACUAGUAGGCAUCCAGUUAUUCAAUAAACAUGUAUCGAACAUCUUCUGUGUGCAGCUCUGUGCUAGCCGUGGAGUUUCAUCAGUAAACAACCAGGCACAGUCUCCCCCCAAACCCAUAACUCCAGUCUAGUAUGAGAAAAAC